AACGAACGUUAGCGGCGCGCUUAACACAUGCAAGUCGAGCGAGAAAGGGGCAACCCCGGUAAAGCGGCGCACGGGUGAGUAACACGUAGGUAAUCUACCCUCGGGUGGAGGAUAACUUUCCGAAAGGAAGGCUAAUACUGCAUGAGACCACGACCUCGAAAGGGGAUGGGGUCAAAGCCGGCCUCUGUACACAAGCUGGCGCCUGAGGAUGAGCCUGCGGCCCAUCAGCUAGUUGGUAGGGUAAUGGCCUACCAAGGCGAAGACGGGUAGCUGGUCUGAGAGGAUGAUCAGUCACACGUGGAACUGGGACACGGUCCAGACUCCGUACGGGAGGCAGCAGUGGGGAAUCUUGCGCAAGUGGGACGAAAGCCUGACGCAGCGACGCCGCGUGAGUGAUGAAGGCCUUGGUUAGUAAGCUCUGUGGAGAGGGACGAA
rnacentral:rRNA from 1 species